rnacentral:pre_miRNA from 1 species
GUAUUACCAUGAGUUCCCUGCAGGCACUUCAUGAGGCACUAUAUAUUUCAAACGCCACCAUGAAGUGUUUUGGGGGAACUCUUGGUGCCAC